GCCGGAGUAGCUCAGUGGUAGAGCAGUGGCCUGAAGAGCCUCGUGUCGUCAGUUCGAUUCUGACCUCCGGCACGA
rnacentral:tRNA from 1 species